UACGUAGGGUGCGAGCGUUAAUCGGAAUUACUGGGCGUAAAGCGUGCGUAGGCGGUUCUCCAAGUCCGUUGUGAAAGCCCCGGGCUCAACCUGGGAAUGGCAGUGGAAACUAGGGGACUGGAAUCUGGCAGAAGGGGGUGGAAUGCCGCGGUGUAGCAGUGAAAUGCGUAGAGAUGCGGCGGAACACCGAUGGCGAAGGCAGCCCCCUGGGCUGAGAUUGACGCGCUCAGGCACAAAAGCGUGGGGAGCAAACAAGG
rnacentral:rRNA from 1 species